CCGGGAAACUAUAAUAAUUAAGUAAAGCUAGGAAGAAUAGGAUGGAGAGCGACAUAUGCCAACCAACCAACCAUCUCCAGAACGAUUAAGCUAGCUGAACCAAUCAACGACACGCUGCAUAUGCUAACACGCCGCUACUCCCUCCAUUCCAAAUUAUAAGGUUGGAGAGUGAAAUCAUUUUAUGUUUGACCAAAAUUAUAGAGAUGAUCACAAAAAUUUAUGUCACCGAAUAGAUAUACUAUGAAAAUAUAUUUAAUGAAGAAACUGAUGGUACUUAUGUGGUCUCAUGAAUGUUAGUACGUUAGGGUAUAAAUUUGGUCAAACUUGAGAUGAUUUAACUUUCCAAAAAAGUUGGAAUGACUUGUAAUUUGGAAACGGAGGAAAACUGAAUCAAAUCCGAGUGAAGUGAUUG
rnacentral:lncRNA from 1 species